rnacentral:rRNA from 1 species
GACGAACGCUGGCGGCGUGCUUAACACAUGCAAGUCGAGCGGUAAGGCCCUUUCGGGGGUACACGAGCGGCGAACGGGUGAGUAACACGUGGGUGACCUGCCCUCAGCUCUGGGAUAAGCCCGGGAAACUGGGUCUAAUACCGGAUAUGACCCUAUGGCGCAUGUUGUGGGGUGGAAAGCCUUGUGCGGCUAGGGAUGGGCCCGCGGCCUAUCAGCUUGUUGGUGGGGUGAUGGCCUACCAAGGCGACGACGGGUAGCCGGCCUGAGAGGGCGACCGGCCACACUGGGACUGAGACACGGCCCAGACUCCUACGGGAGGCAGCAGUGGGGAAUCUUGCGCAAUGGGCGAAAGCCUGACGCAGCGACGCCGCGUGAGGGAUGACGGCCU